UGUUUUUCCAUCCAGAUGUUCAGCCAAUGAGCACUCGGAGGCGGAGGGAGGAAUGCUGCAGGAUGCUCAUUAUCAUGGCUGUCAAACCCAGCGGCGGCUCUGGCAGAUAAAACUCACGUUUUCAUGUGAGAUCAACGAGGAUGAUGUCCACCAGGUCCGCCGCAGCCGUCCUGGUCUGGCUUGGUACGGUUUACAUUGUGCAUGCCUAUGAAGCCAGAGAGCCCAAUUUUCAUGAGAGACAUGUCCGUACGGAGCGAUCCAUAGGCUGGCAGCAGAGUGCAGCCCGGUACAGAGAUGUGGUCACCAUCUUGUCAAGAUCGCACGGAGACCGUAACGUCUACCCGUCUGCAGGGGUUCUGUUCGUCCACGUUCUGGAGAGAGAGUACUUCAAAGGAGAGUUUCCUCCGUACCCAAAAUCAGGUGACGCCAGCAAUGACCCGAUCACUUUCAACACCAACCUGAUGGGUUACCCCGACCGGCCCGGCUGGCUGCGCUACAUCCAGAGGACUCCACACAGCGACGGCGUGCUCUACGGCUCCCCCACCGCAGAGCACGUUGGCAAGGCCACCAUCAUAGAGAUUACUGCCUAUAACAGACGCACUUUUGAGACGGCGCGGCACAACUUGGUCAUAAACAUCAUGGCUACAGAAGAGUUUCCGCUGCCCUACCAGGCGGAGUUCUACAUCAAAAACAUGAACGUGGAGGAGAUGCUGGCCAGCGAGGUGCUGGGAGACUUCCUGGGAGCGGUGAAGAACGUAUGGCAGCCGGAGCGUCUCAAUGCCAUCAACAUCACCUCGGCGCUGGACCGCGGUGGCCGAGUGCCUCUGCCCAUCAACAACCUGAAGGAAGGUGUAUAUGUGAUGGUUGGUGCUGACGUUCCCUUCUCGUCGUGCCUACGAGAGGUGGAGAGUCCACAUAACCAACUGCGCUGCAGUCAGGAGAUGGAGCCUGUCAUCAGCUGUGACAAGAAGUUCAGAGCUCAGUUUCACAUCGAUUGGUGCAAAAUCUCUCUGGUCGACAUCAACAAAGUGGUUCCGAUAUACAUUACCCGUCCAGACCCGGGCACCGGGAUCCUGCCUGAGUUUGGGGAGUACGACCCCCCCUCCGAGUCCCUGAAGGCUCGAGACUUCUUUGCAGACUUCCUGAUCACGCUGGCUGUUCCCUCCGCUGUGGCACUAGUCCUCUUCUUCAUCCUCGGCUACACUAUGUGCUGCAGACGGGAAGGGGUGGAAAAAAGAAACAUGCAAACACCAGACAUCCAGCUGGUUCACCACAGCUCCAUCCAGAAGUCCAGCAAGGAGCUGCGGAGCAUGUCUAAGAACCGGGAGAUCUCGUGGCCUCUCUCCACGCUGCCCGUCUUCAACCCGGUCAGUGGCGAGGUGGUGCCGCCCAUCCACCCCGACAACUAUGAGACCACCAGCAUGCCCCUCAUGCAGACGCAGACGAAUCUGCAAAACCAGAUUACGAUACCACAGCAGCGGCCAUCAGCUCCGCAACACAUCAGGCAUGAGAGCUGUGCUUCUUCUCGGAUGGCUGCAGUUUGUGGUGUUGUUGUGUGAGCGCCCUCCUACGUGCAUGCCGUUCAGCCGCACUAACCUGCUGCUCUCUCUGUUCACCGCUAACAAAGGAGAUAAUUAUGUCAUGUCGACAUUCCGAAGGCUGGAGGUAAAUGGUAUUCCUGAGGAGAGAAAGGUGGCCGAGGCACUCAACUUGUGACCAGAGACGCCGCUGUCCACUUUCUAUUCUAUAUCUAUAUUUUUAUUUUUUUCUAACAUUUGUGCCAAUCUGCAUGCCUCAGAAGUGUCUUUGCAAAGAUUUAUCGUCCACAUAGACUUACACCUUCAAGACAGUGUUGAAGAGCAACAGAGCUUAGCUGAUUAUAAAACACAUGAGAAUAUUUUGAAAUAUUUGUGUAGAUGUUCAAAUUAUGUUUGUAUUUCUACUUGCUUUGCACAAUGGACCUCAAAGAGGGAAAGGGAGUUUUACAAUGGAAAUGCUUCAGUUGUCAUGUUACUGUGUGUGUUGUGUCACAUGAGAAUAAUAAAAACUUACUGUCAAUACUUC